rnacentral:rRNA from 1 species
GACGAACGCUGGCGGCGUGCCUAAUACAUGCAAGUAGAACGCUGAAGGAGGAGCUUGCUCUUCUGGGUGAGUUGCGAACGGGUGAGUAACGCGUAGGUAACCUGCCUGGUAGCGGGGGAUAACUAUUGGAAACGAUAGCUAAUACCGCAUAAGAGUAGAUGUUGCAUGACAUUUACUUAAAAGGUGCAAUUGCAUCACUACCAGAUGGACCUGCGUUGUAUUAGCUAGUUGGUGGGGUAACGGCUUACCAAGGCGACGAUACACAGCCGACCUGAGAGGGUGAUCGGCCACACUGGGACUGAGACACGGCCCAGACUCCUACGGGAGGCAGCAGUAGGGAAUCUUCGGCAAUGGACGGAAGUCUGACCGAGCAACGCCGCGUGAGUGAAGAAGGUUUUCGGAUCGUAAAGCUCUGUUGUAAGAGAAGAACGAGUGUGAGAGUGGAAAGUUCACACUGUGACGGUAUCUUACCAGAAAGGGACGGCUAACUACGUG